AAUCAUCAAAAACCCUUUUCUUUGAUCCAUCUUUUUGGCCCAGUAGAAGGAUUUUUGGACUUGGAGGUUUCAUGCUUGCUUUCUCUUUUGAAAGUGAGCUCCUCUCAAAUGAAUUAGUGGGGGUCUGCUUUGCUGAUCCUUGACGUGAUAAGAUGUUUCUACGUUUUGGACUUGAGCAUUGUACUUUGGGACACCUGCUUCUAACCGUCUUUCGGACAAACAAUGGUGCUCCGGUCACCGCCAUCUACAUCGGCGGGGGAGGCUGGACCCACAAUAAAA
rnacentral:misc_RNA from 1 species